GCAGAAAUAGAAGUUAUGUUGGUAGUUUUCAGAAAUUUAAAAUUCUGAACAAAUUCUUACUAUUUGGAGCACUUACCGAGAUUACGCGGAAUUGAAACUUUGAAAUUAACAGUUUUGCACAUUUGUCGAUAGCAGUAUAUCCAUUACAACAAAAUAUUUACAAUGUUGCAUAGAUAAUUAAUUGUGUGUACCAUAUUAAUUAUUUGCUUAGCACUUUUGUCGAUUUGCAGCGUCGAGUAUGUACACAAAAACAAUCAAAUCGCAAGCGAUUGUUUAAUUUAAUAGUGCAUUCGACUGAUUUACCUACAUUCUAUAUAAAUACAUUGGCAAAUUCCUUUGACAUCUGCUACGAAAAGUAAAUAACUACAAGUAUUCAAACAAAUAACUUUUACCCGCAGCUGCCUUUUAGUUAUAACUUAUCGACUUAUCGAGUGAUUAAUUAUUUAUUUAGUAACUGUACUCAUAAACAAACUAAACGUAUACGAGUAUAAACAGAAACUUUAAAGCGGCAGGCAGAGAAGCCCAUUAUAUAGCAAAUAUUUAAGGAUACUGAAUAAAAUAUUGACACUGAAGUCAACUGACAGAGAUUUUGAAUAGACUGCACUCAUACCGAAGAACUACGGCUGACAACACACGAUUUUGAAACCGCUUCCAGACUGAUUUCAAAGAUAUUUGCAACAUCACGAUUUCCAUCUAAAACGCUGAAGAAAUACCUGAGGUAUGUGAAAUAAUGAAUUUGUUAUGAAUGAAGUGAUAACUUCCACUCAGUGUAAUUUCAUAAAAAUGCUGACGAAUGUGGCAAAACAACGCUAACAACCAUAUUACUUGAUAUGAACUAUUUCAAAAUAAGCGCCAAAUACCGAUCCGGUACGUGCCAAACAACACUCUUUGGUGAUUGCCAUUGAAAUUUAUUGUUUGAACACAGUGUGAACAAAAUUGAUCACGAAACACACAAGAAUUUAAUCUAAAAUGGAGUAAGAAAUAGCAAAGUGGAGAAAACAAAUCAACGAAUAGUAUUGGUAAGUGACGCAAAAGCGGUAAUAAAGCAUUGCAUACAGCAAAUUGGCAAGUGGAAAAGAGGAAAAGUGUCAAAACAAAUAAAAAAUUGUUGAAACACACACACACAGUUACAAAGCCAUACGUGUAGCGGAGCAUUAGAGCGCAGUAAGAGCUCGCGAAUAUAUAUGGAAACGGCGAACACGGUGAUAAUUCAUUUUUAUUAGAGUCAACAUGGCAGAAACAACGACAGCAAACAACACGAACAACAAUGCAACAUGUCGCGAAAUAAGGAAGGUAAAACCGCAAAAGUGUAGUCGCCGCGCUGACAACAACAGCGCGCCAGUGUCGUUGCAUAGUACGCCAUAAAGCAACGAUAAAUGAUGACACAAGGAAAGUUGUAGUGCAAGAGGAAGCCAACAAUGUCAAUGUUGUCAGCGGUGACUACCUGCUGCUGUUGUUGGCAUUGUUGUCGGCGUGCAAAUAGCAGUGACAUGACCUCCAGGCGAUUGCAAGUGUUAGGAAAGUGUCGCAGGAAGUUGAGCAACUCAUCAUGCAUGUAUUGUUGCCUUGCACUUGAAGAUUUGAUGUACCCUCUGCGCAUGUCGAAAUCGCGAAUAUCGACAGGCGAACCGACACAAUGUGAAUAACGACAUUUAUGUUAUUGUGCAUUGGACAAGCGGCGGUCACUGUGGAAAUGUUUAAAGGGGGUGUGUUGGUAAGUAUGAAAAAUGCCACGGAAAUGCUGUGUUUAAGUUAUGCUCCACGAAAUCUCACAAUUGCUGGUCUGUUGAUAUGGGAUCUGAAUAUAUAUAUUUUUAUUGGUAUUGGUGAUUUCAUAAAGAAUUACGUAGGUUGUCUUCUAUAUAUUGGGACUUGAAACAUCAAGUUCGCGAUCUAAUUUCAUUUUUUGGCCGAAAUGAAUAUUUUAAGUUACUAUAAGUUUAUAGCCAAAAAAUUAAAUUAGAUCGCAAAUAUGUUUACGCUAUUAUUUUUUAACACUUUCGAUGUGAAUUACCUCAGUAACGGCGCAUCUGUGAACUUCAUUCAAUUUUGUGUGAUGAAAUCCCAUCAAGGAUCAACGUUUAUCGACAAUAUGAUGAAUUCAAUCGAAGUCGUAAAUCAUUUCGAUGUGAAUUUCUUAAAGGGACAUUCAAAAUCUGUUGUGCUUACGGAAACUAUUGAUGCUGUGGCAAACUGGAUUUUGCAAGAUCGUCAUGUGACCUAUCGUGAGAUUUACACAACUAUAGACAUUAAUUGAUCCCACAGAAUUUGUCAAUUCAAAAAAGGCUCGUGUCGAUUGAACAAGAACGAGAAAUGGUAAAAAAAAUACGAUAACUGUGCUUCGACACACGUUUAUGAUAAUUUGACAGGCGAUAACUCGUGAAUUUAUACGUAUGUAUAUAUGAGCCCGAAUGUAAACAACAGGCGAUUGUAUGGGUGUUCAAAAUAAGCCUAAUCCAAAAAGCUGUUCGAGCAAAAGUAUAUUUCCAAGCAAAUGGUUGCCUGUUUUAUUAGAAAAACGUAAUAUGUCGAAACCAUAUCACUAGAAAUAUAUAGAGCAGUAAAUUCCGAGCGGUACACAACCAUUUGCUUGUCAAUUGUCCUUCAACAAAUCACCGAAACCACCGACGACAGAUUACACUUCACCGCGAUUAUGCGAGUUCUCAUGCGUCGCCUGAAUCAGCCGCUGUUUUGAACACUUAAAACAUCGAUCCAAUGAGUAAAGCACCGUAAAGGCCUGACUUGGCAUCGAACGUCUAAUUUUCAUUGCCAUACGAAUAAGAUAAACUAAGAAUAAAUGUGCUGCGACAUCGGAAGAGGCGGUUGAAACGUUUAGAACGCAUGGUAUCCACACCACGAUCAUAUCAGCAAAAGUGAUUCGAAAAUUGGUUCAAACACAUGCCGAAAUAUAUAGAUCUUAAUUGAGACUAUUUUAUUUUUUUGUUCUCUAAUUCCGAAAUAUAAAAGGCAUGCUGCUGUACGUAUGUACAUAUAGUACUACAUGGACUGAAAAUUCUUUGAAUAACAAUUAGAAUGACAAACGAUUUUUUUGUAUUCAGAAAUCGUUUUGUUAUUCGCCAUAAUAUGUGGCCACGCCUUUGCUUUAACAGACUUUAAAACCGUCUCGUGGUCAAGUUGUUCUCACAAUGGCACCGCCAACCAUUUCACAGUGAAAGGUAACCAGCGAAGCCGACCAAUUUUAUACAAUAACUUGGAAAUUUUUUCUAUCACAGGUUUACUUUGGUAAAUCUCAGUGGAUCAGUGUGCUGAACGUAUACUCAAACAAAUGUGCCUUGCUUUUCCGAGUUGUAAGCGCUGAGGUCCUAACGACGUUAUACUUUAUACAAUUUAAAUAAUUUUUCUAUACAUUUAUACUCCCAAAACUCCUCAGUAAUCGGAAAAAUCGGUAAAUCUGUAUUAUUGAGUCAAAUGCAAAUUUAAUUGAUUAUGAAGAGCUCUUAACGAAAAAAUUAUGUAGAAAAUAGUAAAAUACUUUAAGCAUGAAAUAAAUCUGAUUUUAAAGUAACGGUAACUAACUGCAACUACUUGA